CGCCAGACUCCUACGGGAGGCAGCAGUGGGGAAUAUUGCACAAUGGGGGGAACCCUGAUGCAGCGACGCCGCGUGGGUGAAGAAGUCAUUCGUGACGUAAAGCCCUAUCAGCAGGGAAGAAAAUGACGGUACCUGACUAAGAAGCCCCGGCUAACUACGUGCCAGCAGCCGCGGUAAUACGUAGGGGGCAAGCGUUAUCCGGAUUUACUGGGUGUAAAGGGAGCGUAGACGGCGGCGCAAGUCCGGAGUGAAAGCCCACGGCCCAACCGUGGGACUGCUCUGGAAACUGUGCGGCUUGAGUGCGGGAGGGGCAGGCGGAAUUCCUAGUGUAGCGGUGAAAUGCGUAGAUAUUACGCAGAACUCCGAUUGCGAAGGCAGCGCACCGGCGCCCUACUGACGCUCAGGCACGAAAGCGUGGGUAUCGAACAGGAUUAGAUACCCUCGUAGA
rnacentral:rRNA from 1 species